CCCACUCGUUAUCUCUCCCUCCCUCCCUCCCUCCCUCAAAAAUAAACAUUAAAAAAACGGGGUGGGAUGCAAAGCCCAUGGGAGGUAAUCGAAGGAGGUAUCCAGUGAUUGCUUUCAGGAAUUAAGGAGGGCCAUUUGGUGGGGAAGUAGCAAGGCUCACUGUGUGGCAUCUGAGCCUGGGACUUUUUGUUACCUUGAUAAUGACCAUUAUGAGGAUCCUGCGUAACUAAGCAAUAGACCGAGGAGAUAACCAGUAAAAAUAGGAAGUGAUGAGUCAGCAUUGAUGGCAAUAAUGUAAAAUUACGUUCCUAGACUUGAUUGGAAGGGGAUGUGGCUUUUCUCUUGGGUUCCUUUUCUAUCCUUUUCUUCAGUGCCCACUCAAAUACGUAGGUACGGAAAGUGAUUAGGGCCUGUGCAUUGAGAGCAGAUGCCUGGGUGUAGCCAUCUCUCAAUUAUACAUGGAGUGAACUUGUUGGCAACACAGUGUGGAGCCUCAGAGGGAAGGAGAGAGACCUAACCCUGACCUGCUGUAGCUCCUGCCUCAAAGGAGAGUUUAUUCCUAACCAUACACAUACUCUGAUGUGUUCUCACACUUACUCCACAUUCUCUGUGAUACAAUCUGAGUUUUUGAUUUUAAGUUAAUUUUAUGAUGAACUAUUUUGAGAGCACCAAGAAGGGUUUAUGGACACAAAUGUUACCAGAUGGUAUGGUGCCACCGGUGUGGCUAUACUUCCUGUCUAGUGGCAUGGUCCUUCUCAGAAUCAUUGUUUCAGGACGACGUAGCAACAUGGAAAGGUACUUUAAUUAACUAAGCAGGAAUACGACACUAAGUAAAUGAUAUAUACACUGUUAUUAUAACACCAUAAAAUGAUGUCUGCAAGGGAGAGCAUAAAGCACCGUUUUGGUUUUGGUUAGUUUUAUUGAGAUAUACUUUAUAGCCUUUACCCUUUUCUUUUUUUUUAAUUUUAAUUUUUUUUAAUGUUUUUAUUUCUUUUUGAGACAGAGAGAGACAGAGCAUGAGCAGGGGAGGGGCAGAGAGAGAGGGAGACACAGAGUCUGAAGCAGGCUCCAGGCUCUGAGCUGCCAGCACAGAGCCCGACGUGGGGCUCGAACUCGUGGUCUGUGAGAUCAUGACCUGAGCUGAAGCGGGAUGCCCAACCGACUGAGCCACCCAGGUGCCCCGCCUUUACCCUUUUCAAGUAUACAGUUUGGAACCAGUGACCUUGAAGGACAGGGUGGUGUACUUCAUCCAGAAGCGAUGGGCCAGCCUGAUGCCUGCUCGGAAGCCCCUGCCUGAGAUUUGAUGUUGGAGAUUUAUGGGACCGUAACCUCUCUAGGUAAGGCCUCUCUUUCCUCUAGGACUCAGUCUCUGGAGUUUCCUGGUUCCAUUCCUCUUGUGCGCUGAGGUGUCUCUCCUCAGUUGUUACCGUUGUUGUUUUAAUGUUUCUUUAUUUUUGAGAGAGAGAGACAGAGUGCAAGCAAAGAGGGCCAGAGAGAGAGGGAGACACGGAAUCCAAAGCAGGCUCCGGGCCCUGAGCUGUCAGCACAGAGCCCAACAUGGGGCUUAAACCCACAAACCAUGAGAUCAUGACUUGAACAGAAGUUGGAUGCCCAACCAACUGAGCCACCUAGGCGCAUUGGUUCUCUUUAGUAUUAAAACAGACGUCCCCAACUCCCUAUUAGAGGCUCUGCUCUGGGAAAAAUGGGAAACGAAAAGUUUUCUGAUGCCCUCCUUAAACCUCAUCCUUGUUUUCUUGAGAGGACCAUCUUGGUCCUCCACUGCUACUCCUCUAUUUUAGCACACACUCAGAUAGGGCCUCAUAAGUUCAGUUUCUUCCUUAGUAAGACAGUUGGGCUCUUGCUUGUUUUAAAAGUUUAUUUAUUUUGAGAGAGACAGAGAAAGUGAGCAGGGGAGGAGCAGAGACGGGGGAACAGGAUCCAAAGUGGGUUCCACGCCGACAGCAGAGAGCCUGAUGUGAGACUUGAACUUGCAAACUGCGAGAUCAUGACCUGAGCUGAAGUCGGGUGCUCGACUGACUGAGCCACCCAGGUGCCCCUGUUGGGCUCCUUCUUUAGAAGGCUCCUCUUUCCCUAAGGCCCACCUACCUUGUUCUCCUGGGUGGUCAGUUCCCUUUCCACUUGCUAAAAGCAGAGGAGGGGCUAGAAGGAGUUCCAGAGUCAGGUCUGAUUCCCAGCCCCCUCCUGUUCUGAUAGCCCUGCGGGGGCACGGAGAAGUACCACAGGCCCGGAUCUCUAGGCACAGGCUGGCAGAAGGGUCCUGAGAGAUGUCAGUGCGGGUGGGUAGGAGGACCUGUGAGCUGCCCUCCCUACUCAGUCUCUCCCUUUGUUUUAAUCAUUUAUCACCCAGAGGGGUUUUCUUUCUCAAAUGGCUGCUGUGGGGGAUGAAAAUGGUUACUCUUUUUUUUUUUUUUUUUAAGUUUAUUUAUUUAGAGACAGAGAAAGAGUACGAGCGGGGAGGGGCAGAGAAAGAGGGAGAGAGAGAGAAUCCCAAGGAGGAUCUUUACUGUUAGUGCAGAGCUCGAUGCGGGGCUCGAACUCACAAACUAUGAGAUCAUGACCUGAGCCUAAGCCAGACGCUUAACUGACUGAGCCACCCAGGCGCCCCAAAAAUGGUCACUCUUAAACAGAAGUGUUGUAGCUGCACUGACAGCUCAGAGCCCGGAGCCUGCUUCAGAUUCUGUGUCUCCCUCUCUCUCUGCCCCUCCCCUGCUCAUGCUCUGUCUGUCUCUGUCUCAAAAAUAAAUAAAAACAUUUAAAAAAAAACAAAACAAAACACAGAAGUGUUGUAGAACACUUGGCAAAGGCUCACUGGAGCACCAGCCCUGAACUGGACAGGACAGUCCCCGGGGAUGCAUGCGUGUGAGAGUUCUGCACAUUCUGCCACAUAUUUGUGUUACCCUCCCCCCCUCUGCCCCCCCAUACGUUUUUUUCAUGUAAUGGGAUAUGUUAAUGUUCUACUCUUUUCCACACAAAGAUGUAUUUUAAUUACAAUUAGAGAAAUAUAGUGUUCCAUGAACUAGCCUGGGGGAACAUACAUAACGUUAUCAUUCAUUGUUUCUAUGAGAACAUGUAAGGUUUCUAAACGUUGACCUAAAAGUGAACGUUUUGAGGCAUUCAUGGUCAUAACUGGGAUGGAAAUUAGCUUUCUUCAUUUGAAAGAAGUCCAUUAAGAAAGAUUCGUUAAAAAUCCAGAGAGUAUUUUGUGGCCUUUCCUAGUCUUGUCAGUCUAUUCCAAUUUUUCAAAUGAUACAGUUUUCAUAUGGCAUUUCUCCUUCUAAUUCAGCCCUACUGUUACCUUGAAGCAGUGCCUUCUCAGGAAGGGCCCCAUUCUAGGAAGGACUUAAGACUAUUUUGGUGAGAAAACUUCCCUGCAUCUACUGUGAAUUCUCUUUUUGGGUUUCUAUGUAGCCUGUUAAUGACCUUCACGGGGGGAUUCAGGGGGCUUUUCUUCCACUUGUUUAUAAUGGGUAUGCAAUAGGUAGAAUUCAAGAGAAAAAUCAGAAUUCAAGCUUAGUGCGUCCAGAUGUAGUUUGAGUCAAUCCCAGAUCACCUCUAAGAAAACCCAUUAAACUGUAGGAAAAGAGACAAUGAUUUUGAUUUCUGGAAAUUAUAUUUAUUAGCUGUGUUUUCCUGUAGUGAUUAGGAAGAAAACUUUUUUUUAAGUUUAUUUAUUUAUUUAUUUUGAGAGAGAGAGAGAGAGAGAGAGAGAGAGCGCACAAGCAGGGGAGGCUCAGAGAGAGGAGAGACAGAAUCCCAAGCAGGCUCUACACCGUCAGCGCAGAGCCCUAUGCAGGGCUCAAACUCAAACUGUGAGGUUGUGACCUGAGCUGAGACCAAGAGUUGGUGGUCACUUGACUGUGCCACCCAGGUGCCCCAGGAAGAGAACUUCUAAGUAGAGAGGAUCUUUGGUGCAGCAAGUAGGGUUCCAGGGAAGCUAGGGACGCACCAUGUUUUUUCACAGUCUGUAGGAGAGAGGAACCCCUGAAGAACCAUUGUGUUGUAGCCAUUUAGAGCAGGAGAGAAAAAUAUGGGAUCUCUGGGGUCCUGUUUGGUGGACAGGAAUUUGCCCUGCUCAUGGCCCAUCAUACGGGGACAGGAAUACUGGGAAGGCUGAGACUCUGUGCCUUGAAUUGUUUGUACUAGUCCUUCGUGGGCCGAUGGUUUAUUUAUAAAGAACUUGAUUGUGGGAGUAAAUUUCAGAAACCUAUUCUGCAGUGAGUUAGUGGUUCUUCAUCAAUGACAAGAUGAAAUAGAAUAAGAGCCCAUCUAGAAUAAUGCGUUAGAUACUAUACGGGAAAGAUAACAUCUUUGAUGGAGAGAAAAACUGUACAGAAAAACUGUACAGAUAAGGAAAAAAAUGUAAAUGAUUGCCUCUUCAGCACUUGACCGAAAACGAUUUUUUUUCAGGUACUCAAGGACUAAUGGAAUUAAUUUUGGAAAUAGGAUUUAAGCUUAUAGUCAGAACAGGGACAUUGGGUAAAUGGUAGCAAAAUGAAAGAAGAUAAGCUAACUGAGCAGGAAGAAAAGGAAUUUCCUUAGAAGAAAGUUCAAGUCCAUAAAAGCCAGGCCAGGCAGAUAUAAAAGGGAGCAGGGAAUUCAUACAUAUAUAUAAAAUGUGUGUAUACAAAAUGUGUGUAUAUAUAUAUGUAUAAUGUAUGUAAUGUAUAAUAUAUAUGUAUAUAAACUGGCCCUGAAGAUGUGACUAAACAUCAUUAUUGGAGCAUGUGCUCAGCGACAGAAGGAAGAAUGAGGAGGACAUAGUGUCCAGAAAAGCAUGGGUCCACUGUGGGGAAAUUGUGAAGACUCACUAUGACAGUUGUGCAGCAGGACUGAAACUUGUGUCCUCAUACUGUUAGAGUGGGCAGUUAGUUAGGUUCUAACAGGAUACUUGGAGGCCAGCCCCAAGGAAGUCAUGGCCAGCUAUUGGGAAGGUCAGAGGCCUGUCCUGGCACCACUCCACCACAAGCCAGAUCAAACCAGACAGACCCAAGAUGGCAGAUGCCAUGACAGGAAACUCCUGAUCAAAUUAGAAGAAAAAGCUCUAAACACUGCUUCUUCCCCAAGUAAUGAAUAUUACACCCCUAGUUAACAACUGUCAAUCAAAGAUAGAAACUGAAUCCCCUGGGCAUGCAACUCUCCCUCUCUCUCUUUCUCUCACCCACUCUCAUAUCUUGAGUGUACUUUUCGCUUUAAUAAACUUUUCCACUUGUGUCA